UACGGAGGGUGCAAACGUUGCUCGGAAUCAUUGGGCGUAAAGCGCACGUAGGCGGCCUGAUAAGUCGGGUGUGAAAGCCCUGGGCUCAACCCAGGAAGUGCACUCGAAACUGUCAGGCUUGAAUAUGGAAGAGGGUCGCGGAAUUCCCGGUGUAGAGGUGAAAUUCGUAGAUAUCGGGAGGAACACCAGUGGCGAAGGGCGGCGACCUGGGCCAAUAUUGACGCUGAGGUGCGAAAGCGUGGGAGCAAACAGG
rnacentral:rRNA from 1 species